ACGGCUGGACUUACACGCCACGCUCAAGGUGCGCUGUCUCUCCAGUUUGCGGUGGUGAAUGCCGGUAGCGGCGUGAGUCUCGCUCUCUCCCCCUAUGGUUGUGCGGGCAUCAUACUCGGCAACAAGUGCCAAGGCUGGUGGUGGUGCUGGUGACCUGGGUGGAGGUGUCUGUUUUCCCUGCGUGCUGUGUCCCCUGGGAUUUGGGUAUUCACUGUGUGUGUGUGCGUGUGUGCCUGUCACAUAACCUGGUGAUUUGAGUAUUUUAAUUUAGACUCCUCCUUUCACUAGCUGCAUUUCACCAUGAGCCUAAG